GACGAACGCUGGCGGCGUGCCUAAUACAUGCAAGUAGAACGCACAGUUUAUACCGUAGCUUUGCUACACCAUAGACUUGUGAGUUGCGAACGGGUGAGUAACGCGUAGGUAACCUGCCUGGUAGCGGGGGAUAACUAUUGGAAACGAUAGCUAAUACCGCAUAAUAUUAAUUAUUGCAUGAUAAUUAAUUGAAAGGUGCAAUUGCACCACUACCAGAUGGACCUGCGUUGUAUUAGCUAGUAGGUGAGGUAACGGCUCACCUAGGCGACGAUACAUAGCCGACCUGAGAGGGUGAUCGGCCACACUGGGACUGAGACACGGCCCAGACUCCUACGGGAGGCAGCAGUAGGGAAUCUUCGGCAAUGGACGAAAGUCUGACCGAGCAACGCCGCGUGAGUGAAGAAGGUUUUCGGAUCGUAAAGCUCUGUUUUAAGAGAAGAACGGGUGUGAGAGUGGAAAGUUCACACUGUGACGGUAUCUUACCAGAAAGGGACGG
rnacentral:rRNA from 1 species